UACGUAGGGGGCUAGCGUUGUCCGGAUUUAUUGGGCGUAAAGAGCGUGUAGGCGGCCAGGUAGGUCCGUUGUGAAAACUCGAGGCUCAACCUCGAGACGUCGGCGGAAACCCUCUGGCUAGAGUCCGGAAGAGGAGAGUGGAAUUCCUGGUGUAGCGGUGAAAUGCGCAGAUAUCAGGAAGACCAGUGGCGAAGGCGGGUCUCUGGACAGUUCCUGGACGCUGAGGCACGGAAGGCCAGGGGAGCAAACGGGG
rnacentral:rRNA from 1 species